rnacentral:rRNA from 1 species
GAUGAACGCUGGCGGCGUGCCUAAUACAUGCAAGUCGAGCGAACAGACGAGGAGCUUGCUCCUCUGACGUUAGCGGCGGACGGGUGAGUAACACGUGGAUAACCUACCUAUAAGACUGGGAUAACUUCGGGAAACCGGAGCUAAUACCGGAUAACAUGUUGAACCACAUGGUUCAACAGUGAAAGACGGUCUUGCUGUCACUUAUAGAUGGAUCCGCGCCGCAUUAGCUAGUUGGUAAGGUAACGGCUUACCAAGGCAACGAUGCGUAGCCGACCUGAGAGGGUGAUCGGCCACACUGGAACUGAGACACGGUCCAGACUCCUACGGGAGGCAGCAGUAGGGAAUCUUCCGCAUUGGGCGAAAGCCUGACGGAGCAACGCCGCGUGAGUGAAGAAGGUCUUCGGAUCGUAAAACUCUGUUAUUAGGGAAGAACAAAUGUGUAAGUAACUAUGCACGUCUUGACGGUACCUAAUCAGAAAGCCACGGCUAACUACGUG